GUGCCAGCAGCCGCGGUAAUACGAAAGGUGCAAGCGUUGUUCGGAUUUACUGGGCGUAAAGAGAUCGUAGGUGGUUUGUUAAGUCGGGUGUGAAAUCCCGGGGCUCAACCCCGGAACUGCAUUCGAUACUGGCAGGCUAGAGUUCGGGAGGGGGAAGCGGAAUUCCGUGUGUAGCAGUGAAAUGCGUAGAUAUACGGAGGAACACCUGAGGCGAAGGCGGCUUCCUGGACCGAUACUGACACUGAGGAUCGAAAGCGUGGGUAGCAAACAGGAUUAGAUACCCCUGUAGUCCUAGCUGUAAACGAUGGACACUAGGUGUUGCGCGUAUCGACCCGUGCAGUGCCGUAGCUAACGCGUUAAGUGUCCCGCCUGGGGAGUACGCACGCAAGUGUGAAACUCAAAGGAAUUGACGG
rnacentral:rRNA from 1 species